AGUAACGCGUAGGUAAUCUACCCUUAUAUUUGGGAUAACAUUGGGAAACUGGUGCUAAUACCGAAUGGUCUUAUUUUAAUGCGAGUUAAAUUGAGUAAAGGUGGCCUCUGUAUAUGCUACCGUAUAGGGAUGAGCCUGCGUACCAUUAGCUAGUAGGUGGGGUAACGGCCCACCUAGGCAACGAUGGUUAGCGGGUCUGAGAGGAUGAUCCGCCACACUGGAACUGGAACACGGACCAG
rnacentral:rRNA from 1 species